rnacentral:sRNA from 1 species
UUUUCGCAUGAGGGAUAGUAGCGGCAUCCUUUUAUCUCUCUCGUUUUUUAACGAGAGGGAUAAAAGAUACAGCGAAUAGCCCGACCUCAC